rnacentral:rRNA from 1 species
AUUGAACGCUGGCGGCAGGCCUAACACAUGCAAGUCGAGCGGAUGAAGGGAGCUUGCUCCUGGAUUCAGCGGCGGACGGGUGAGUAAUGCCUAGGAAUCUGCCUGGUAGGGGGGGAUAACGUCCGGAAACGGGCGCUAAUACCGCAUACGUCCUGAGGGAGAAAGUGGGGGAUCUUCGGACCUCACGCUAUCAGAUGAGCCUAGGUCGGAUUAGCUAGUUGGUGGGGUAAAGGCCUACCAAGGCGACGAUCCGUAACUGGUCUGAGAGGAUGAUCAGUCACACUGGAACUGAGACACGGUCCAGACUCCUACGGGAGGCAGCAGUGGGGAAUAUUGGACAAUGGGCGAAAGCCUGAUACAGCCAUGCCGCGUGUGUGAAGAAGGUCUUCGGAUUGUAAAGCACUUUAAGUUGGGAGGAAGGGCAGUAAGUUAAUACCUUGCUGUUUUGACGUUACCAACAGAAUAAGCACCGGCUAACUUCGUG